rnacentral:rRNA from 1 species
CCUACGGGAGGCAGCAGUGGGGAAUUUUGCACAAUGGGGGAAACCCUGAUGCAGCGACGCCGCGUGAUUUAGAAGGCCUUCGGGUUGUAAAAAUCUUUUUUAUGGGAUGAAAAUGACAGUACCAUAAGAAUAAGGUCCGGCUAAAUACGUGCCAGCAGCCGCGGUAAUACGUAUGGACCGAGCGUUGUCCGGAAUCAUUGGGCGUAAAGGGUACGUAGGCGGCCUAGUAAGUUAGAAGUGAAAUAAUAUAGCUCAACUAUAUAAAGCUUUUAAAACUGUUAGGCUUGAGAGAUGAAAGGGAAAGUGGAAUUCCUAGUGUAGCGGUGAAAUGCGCAGAUAUUAGGAAGAAUACCGGUGGCGAAGGCGACUUUCUGGUCAUCAUCUGACGCUGAGGUACGAAAGCGUGGGUAGCAAACAGGAUUAGAUACCCUGGUAGUCC